rnacentral:rRNA from 1 species
CAGUCGCCGCGGUAAUACGUAGGUGGCAAGCGUUGUCCGGAAUUAUUGGGCGUAAAGGGCUCGCAGGCGGUUUCUUAAGUCUGAUGUGAAAGCCCCCGGCUCAACCGGGGAGGGUCAUUGGAAACUGGGAAACUUGAGUGCAGAAGAGGAGAAUGGAAUUCCACGUGUAGCGGUGAAAUGCGUAGAGAUGUGGAGGAACACCAGUGGCGAAGGCGACUCUCUGGUCUGUAACUGACGCUGAGGAGCGAAAGCGUGGGGAGCGAACAGGAUUAGAUACCCCCGUAGUCCCUGUCUCUUAUAA